UGGGGAAUAUUGGACAAUGGGGGAAACCCUGAUCCAGCAACGCCGCGUGAAUGAAGAAGGCCUUAGGGUUGUAAAGUUCUUUUGUCCUUGAGCAAAGCAUUAUGGCUAAUACCUGUAAUGGCUGAGAGUAGAGGAAGAAUAAGCACCGGCUAACUACGUGCCAGCAGCCGCGGUAAUACGUAGGGUGCGAGCGUUAAUCGGAAUUACUGGGCGUAAAGGGUGCGCAGGCGGAUUGAUAAGUUAGAUGUGAAAUACCUGAGCUUAACUUGGGAAUAGCAUUUAAGACUGUUAGUCUAGAGUAUGUAAGAGGGGGGUAGAAUUUCUGGUGUAGCAGUGAAAUGCGUAGAUAUCAGAAGGAAUACCGAUGGCGAAGGCAGCCCCCUGGGAUAAUACUGACGCU
rnacentral:rRNA from 1 species